GGCGAUGUAGCUCAGUUGGUUAGAGCACGACAUUCAUAACGUCGGGGUCGGCAGUUCAAAUCUGCCCAUCGCUA
rnacentral:tRNA from 1 species